GCUGAAAAAGCGAAAAACUCGCGAAAAGUUUCGGCCUUUUUUUUGGUUAACUAUACCUUUCAGUU
rnacentral:tRNA from 1 species